GACGAACGCUGGCGGCGUGCUUAACACAUGCAAGUCGAACGGAAAGGCCCUGCUUUUGUGGGGUGCUCGAGUGGCGAACGGGUGAGUAACACGUGAGUAACCUGCCCUUGACUUUGGGAUAACUUCAGGAAACUGGGGCUAAUACCGGAUAGGAGCUCCUGCUGCAUGGUGGGGGUUGGAAAGUUUCGGCGGUUGGGGAUGGACUCGCGGCUUAUCAGCUUGUUGGUGGGGUAGUGGCUUACAAAGGCUUUGACGGGUAGCCGGCCUGAGAGGGUGACCGGCCACAAUGGGACUGAGAUACGGCCCAGACUCCUACGGGAGGCAGCAGUGGGGAAUAUUGCGCAAUGGGCGGAAGCCUGAUGCAGCAACGCCGCGUGCGUGAUGACGGCCUUCGGGUUGUAAACCGCUUUCGCCUGUGACGAAGCGUGAGUGACGGUAAUGGGUAAAGAAGCACCGGCUAACUACGUG
rnacentral:rRNA from 1 species